CGUCAAUGAUGAACUCGGUGCAUUGGACCAUAGACGAAUCCAAGUAAAAAUAAGAAGAAGACACACGACGGUGUUAACUUUGACAGAUCCUACAGCACAGCAUAGGAAGAUCAUUUUAAAAUGCUUAUAAUAAAUUCUAGACAAAAUGUAAUUAAAAUCUGAUUGAUGUACGAUACGGAAAAAGUUCUGAAUUACAUAUUCGGAAGCUUAUCUCAAUUUUUUGAAUAUUUUCCAAAAAUAUAUCUAUCAUACAGUUCGGAACUUUUUCCGUAUCAUACUUCAAUCAGAUUUUAAUUACAUUUUGUCUAGAAUUUAUUAUAAGCAUUUUAAAAUGAUCUCCCUAUGCUGUGCUGUAGGAUCUGUCAAAGUUAACACCGUCGUGUGUCUUCUUCUUAUUUUUACUUGGAUUCGUCUAUCACCGUUUUGUAACUUUCGUAAACAUUUCAUUGAUCUGUGUCGUGGGUGUUCAGUGAAUUUUGGUCUUGGUCGGCCCCGUAGUUAAUAAAUUUUGCAAAUUUGCAAAUUUUGCGGUCUUUCCUCGCUUUUGUGACAGCCAUCAAGAAGCUGGACGUAUUCAUAAGAAGCAGCAAAAAUCUGAAUAAGGGAAACUACGCAAAGAUACUACCCGUUGCAAAGCUUAGCGGUUUUUUCUAGAUUGAGAUCACACUCUAUGACGCAAUUGGUACCGAUCUUGAGAACGGCGGUGCAUUCGAGUAUUCAUACCAUCAAGGAUGCUCGCCACAGGAAACCUUCCGUCUAUCUACGGGGAUAUUCCGCCGCCAAACUUCGAAUAUACACUCAGCAAACAGUACAUACUUCAUGUAUAUACUCCGGCGAACAUCGUUGCGGAAAUAUAUCAGGCGCCAAGCGCAACAGGUUGGUCUGCAUUCUAUUCGGUAUCACCCAGAAGGAUAUGAUGAAGUGCUACGACCUCCUGUCUAGUUUGGCCAAAGCGAAAUCAAUUCAAACUACACAAACAAUGGCAUUCGACAGCAUACAAUAAAUAUUUAUCGAUGUGAUGAUCUGCGCCGUCGACUGAGCAAUUUCGAACUGCGUACACCGU